rnacentral:rRNA from 1 species
AAAUUGAAGAGUUUGAUCAUGGCUCAGAUUGAACGCUGGCGGCAGGCCUAACACAUGCAAGUCGAACGGUAACAGGAAGCAGCUUGCUGCUUUGCUGACGAGUGGCGGACGGGUGAGUAAUGUCUGGGAAACUGCCUGAUGGAGGGGGAUAACUACUGGAAACGGUGGCUAAUACCGCAUAACGUCGCAAGACCAAAGAGGGGGACCUUCGGGCCUCUUGCCAUCAGAUGUGCCCAGAUGGGAUUAGCUUGUUGGUGAGGUAACGGCUCACCAAGGCGACGA